ensembl:lncRNA
GCUCCCCUUUGAAUUGGAGAUUUACUACAUCCAGCAUGUUAUGCUCUACGUGGUGCCCAUCUAUCUGCUUUGGAAAGGAGGUGCCUACACCCCGGAGCCCCUCAGCAGUUUCCGGUGGGCCCUUCUCUCGACUGGCCUCAUGUUCUUUUAUCACUUCAGCGUCUUGCAGAUCCUGGGCCUGGUCACCGAAGUGAAUUUGAACAACAUGCUGUGUCCGGCCAUCUCAGACCCAUUCUACGGCCCCUGGUACCGCAUCUGGGCCUCGGGACACCAGACUCUCAUGACCAUGACCCACGGGAAGCUGGUUAUCCUGUUCUCAUACAUGGCUGGGCCCUUGUGUAAAUAUCUGCUGGAUUUGCUCCGGCUUCCAGCCAAGAAAAUAGACUGAAGGUGCUUGCGGGGUUUUUGUUUUUGUUUUUUUCUUUUGUUUUGGGGUGGUUUGGUUUUUUUUUUUUUUUCUUUUUUCUUUUUUUCUUCUCCCCCUGAGGAAACAAGUCCUGACUUGACUUGGAGGACACCCAGUUCUUGAUGAAAUCAUGGGAGAGGGCAGUAGGGUGUUUGGUGUAUUUCUCUCCCCCCCCCCACCCCCGUCCCUUUCUUCCAGCACUUUUUCCUUCACCAGCUCUUCCCCCAGGACGGAGGCUCCGAGAGCCUGGCGGGGGUGGUAGUGCUGAGGGCCGGACCUUUCCUCCUCCCCUCUGGCGCUCUCUCCCUGCUUCUAGUGGCCUUACAUGGGGAGACGGUAGUCAGUGGCUGUCACUCUGCUUGUUGGUGCUUUAACAACAGCUGGUUGAGGAGAAAGGGAACAACAAGCAGCAGGAGUUGUUUGGGCGUCGAAGCAAUGCGAUUGGGUUGUGUUUCAUUUCUCCACUGCCAGGGACCUCCAGCCUUCGGCCGGGGGUCCCCUUCUGCCUCCAGCACAGCCCCCGCCGUGAGGGGACUGAGGCCUUGUUUCUAUACCAGCGGCAAGCCCAGAGCCAAGGGAUUUCCCAGCUCGUGGCCAAAAUAGAACUGGCCAGAUUCUUCCCACUAGUGUCCCAUGACUCAAAGCAAGCAGCCAACCAGCCACUCCCUCCAGGAUACUGCCAGCCGUGGGAGGUGGGGGCGCUACCCAGCCCAGGGGCUAGAUCCUACUGAGCCCUGUUGCAGUGGCAAAUCCAAAGUGAACAAGGUUGAAAUGCCCACUGGCUCAUACUAGGCAAGACCUUGGGUAAAUUCUGCCUGAGAGCUGAGAGGUGACCCACAUCCCAAUCAGAAGUGAGCACAGCAGUUAAUCAACAGAAGUGGUAACUCGAGAAACCUAUGAUGUGAAUCAUGCUUGCGUUCAGUUUAAUGUUGAUAAUAGAUGGUGUUUUCAUUGUGAGUGCCCCUUAAAUGUCUCUCUUUCUCUUUUCAAAAGGCAGCUUCAGGGCAGGAUGAGCUAGAGUUGGGUUUGUUUUUUGUUUUUGUUUUUGUUUUGGCUUUUUGGGUUGUGUUUGCUUGUUCCUUUGUUUUUUUGUUGUUUUGUUUUGUUUUGUUUUUGUUUUUGAUGUGGGCAUUUGGAGAAGCCCUGCAUUAGGGCCUGUCUCUGGAGGGACUCCUGUCGGCCCACUCGGUGGUUUGACAGGCUCUGUCAGCAUCCAGGGUUUGGAAGAUACAGAUCCUGCAGCCUCGUUUGCAUAGGGCCAGAUGUCAGUCACUGUGCCAAAAGGCAGAGCGGAAUUGCUUAGGGCGGGAGGCAUCGCAGGCUGUGCACCCUGCCCACCCCCAAAGUCCAUGUCUAGGUUGAAAGGGCCGCACCAAGGAAUCAGGUCCACAUGGGUGGAGGAGGUUCAAGAGCUCUGAGAGGAAGUCAUUGUGUUGCAAGACAGCUUCAGUCCUACCUGGCCCUCAAGAAGGGAGGCCGUGGCUGGGUGUCUGCUGACUCUUCCGUGGCUCUUCUGAGAGUAGAUUUCUUAAGCAUGGAAAAGGUCAUUCCCCUGACCUCCUGAUGGGCCUCCCUCCCCUCUCCCAGUCCAGGCAAGCCAGUUGUCCCCGGGUCUCUUUGGUAUUUCAGGUGUUGCCUGUGUCGGACCCAGACUGAGUUGUAGUGGUUCAGCGGUCAUGAGUUUAGCAGGUGGGCCUGCGGCGGGCAGCAGAGUGGAAGAGCGCCUCUGGGAAGAAGGCAGGGCCUUGCCCCUUGGCAGAGGCGCGCCGGCACCGAGGCCACCAGUCCCUCUGGUGUGGGCUUGCAGGAGGGAGGGACACUGAGUGCUCUGGCUCCCCAUGGGCCCCUCGUGAUGCAUACCCUCAUUUUCUGCCACCUUGGAGGGUUUGGCCGAGUUUUUCUUAGUGCCGCUCAUCCCAGGCUCACCCUGGCGGAGGCACCUCUUGAGUGGCUGGAUUUGCUCCGCCCACCAGCCACAUGGGGGCGUGGCAAAGGAGGAAAUGUGCCAGGUCGGGGGUCCGUGCCCAUGACCUCUUCACAAAAGGAAAGGUGUGAAGGAGGAGCCCCCGGGGGCCUGUCCUGUCCCCUGCCAGAAUGUCCCCGGCCAGAACACAGAGUCUCCGCCUCAGCCGGGGGCCAGCUGGCCAGGCACAUUGGCAGAGCGGCCCUGUGGGCUCGCUCUCCCCCUCCCUGUGUCCAUGGUCCGGUGCCGGGGGCCGAUCGGCCCCAGCUUUGCUCGCGCUGGCCGGCCUCUAAAAGCUUGCCUUUGCCCUGGCUGCAGCUCAGCACCCCACACUGGCUGGCACUUCGCUGCUGCCUGGAAGGAAAGAAGAAAGUGGAAGCCACGUGCCUGGCUUGGUCAGGCCAGAGGCAGGUGUACCUGCCCAGGGCAGGGGGAAGCCAAGGGGAGGGAGAUGCAGGACUUCUGGGGGCCAGGCUGGCUCCCGAACAUGUAGUGGGGGAGGAAUGGAGAGCAAGCCCUGGCCACGGGCGCCAUGGGGAGUUGCGGCCAGCAUUUGAGGUCCUGGGGGAGCAGCCGGCAUCUCGGUUGGCCUGUCCUUGAGGCCCAUGUGGAGAGGUGACCUGGCCAGACCCUCAGCGGCCUGCCUAGGGGGUGCCCCUCCAGCCCUGCUU